rnacentral:rRNA from 1 species
UACGGGGGGAGCAAGCGUUGUUCGGAUUUACUGGGCGUAAAGGGCGCGUAGGCGGCCUCCGCAAGUCAGUUGUGAAAUCUCCGAGCUUAACUCGGAAAGGUCAACUGAUACUGCGGGGCUAGAGUGCGGAAGGGGCAACUGGAAUUCUCGGUGUAGCGGUGAAAUGCGUAGAGCUCGGGAAGAACAUCGGUGGCGAAAGCGCUCUGCUGGACUGCAACUGACACUCAGGGACGAAAGCUAGGGGAGCGAAUGGG